CCUACGGGAGGCAGCAGUAGGGAAUCUUCCACAAUGGACGAAAGUCUGAUGGAGCAACGCCGCGUGAGCGAUGAAGGCCUUCGGGUCGUAAAGCUCUGUUGAUAGGGAAGAACAAGUACCGGAGUAACUGCCGGUACCUUGACGGUACCUAACCAGAAAGCCACGGCUAACUACGUGCCAGCAGCCGCGGUAAU
rnacentral:rRNA from 1 species